rnacentral:rRNA from 1 species
GACGAACGCUGGCGGCGUGCUUAACACAUGCAAGUCGAACGGCAACGCCCUGCUUUCGUGGGCUUCCCGAGUGGCAAACGGGGGCGUAACACGUGUGUAACCUGCUCUUGACUUUGGGAUAACUUCAGGAAACUGGGGCUAAUCCCGUACCGCAUACCCUCUUGCAUGGUGGGCGUUGGAUCGUUUCGGCUGUCGGGGAUGGACUGGCGGCUUACCGGCUUGCUAGUGGGGUAGUGGCUUACCCAGGCUUUGACCGGUAGCCGGCAUGGGAGGGUGACCGGCCACAUGAGGACUGCGAGAGGGACCAGACGCCUACGGGAGGCAGCAGUGGGGAAUAUUGCACAAUGGGCGGAAGCGUGAUGAAGAAGCGCCGCGUGCGGGAUGACGGCCUGCGGGUUGUAAACCGCUUUAGCCUGUGACGAAGCGUGAGUGACGGUAAUGGGUAAAGAAGCACCGGCUAACUACGUG